UACGGAGGGGGCUAGCGUUGUUCGGAAUUACUGGGCGUAAAGCGCACGUAGGCGGCUUUGUAAGUUAGAGGUGAAAGCCCGGGGCUCAACUCCGGAAUUGCCUUUAAGACUGCAUCGCUAGAAUUGUGGAGAGGUAAGUGGAAUUCCGAGUGUAGAGGUGAAAUUCGUAGAUAUUCGGAAGAACACCAGUGGCGAAGGCGACUUACUGGACACAUAUCGACGCUGAGGUGGCGAAAAGCGUGGGGAGCAAACAGG
rnacentral:rRNA from 1 species